ACAGAUAAAAUAAGAAUCAGUAUGGAACACACCUACCACUACCAUCAGAACUGGGACUUCUGAAGCCAGAGAAGACCCUUCCAUGAUUCAUGACUGAAAGGUCUGUGAACGGCCAAAAGAAGAUUACAGGGAGAAGAACCACCAUGCACCCUCCACCAGUAUCUUGGGCAGAUGGGCAGGAGCUCUAGGGCCGCUUCUCAGUGUUCCUCAGAUGGAGAAUCAACCUCAGGACAAAUCAAGUCUGGAUCCUUCUGGGCUGAAUCCUUUCUAGGAUUGGUACCUAUCAUGACAUGGUCACAUUCCUCCACUCCUCUAUGAGAGGAUGGAGUCAUUGGACACCAACCUAAUGCUGGCAAAUGACAGACAGGAAGAGCCCCAGCAGGGCAGAUGCCACAGAAACCUUAACUGGGACACAGAAACAUCACUAACAAAGACCCAGCAGCUGUCUUGGUGAGGGAGACACAGUCUAACAGUCACAAAGAGGCACAACGGAGACCCUAACCCCCGGCCCUCUGCAGACACCUCUGCCUGCCCUCCCAGGGAAGCUGCCGGCCAAGAUUAUUUCAGGUCACC
ensembl:lncRNA novel transcript, antisense to ANKRD27